AGGGCGCACGGUGGAUGCCUUGGCACUAGAAGCCGAUGAAGGACGUUACUAACGACGAUAUGCUUUGGGGAGCUGUAAGUAAGCUUUGAUCCAGAGAUUUCCGAAUGGGGAAACCCAGCAUGAGUUAUGUCAUGUUAUCGAUAUGUGAAUACAUAGCAUAUCAGAAGGCACACCCGGAGAACUGAAACAUCUUAGUACCCGGAGGAAGAGAAAGAAAAUUCGAUUCCCUUAGUAGCGGCGAGCGAAAYRGGAAGAGCCCAAACCAACAAGCUUGCUUGUUGGGGUUGUAGGACACUCUAUACGGAGUUAYAAAGGACGACAUUAGACGAAUCAUCUGGAAAGAUGAAUCAAAGAAGGUAAUAAUCCUGUAGUCGAAAAUGUUGUCUCUCUUGAGUGGAUCCUGAGUACGACGGAGCACGUGAAAUUCCGUCGGAAUCUGGGAGGACCAUCUCCUAAGGCUAAAUACUCUCUAGUGACCGAUAGUGAACCAGUACCGUGAGGGAAAGGUGAAAAGCACCCCGGAAGGGGAGUGAAAUAGAACCUGAAACCGUGUGCUUACAAGUAGUCAGAGCCCGUUAAUGGGUGAUGGCGUGCCUUUUGUAGAAUGAACCGGCGAGUUACGAUUUGAUGCAAGGUUAAGCAGUAAAUGUGGAGCCGUAGCGAAAGCGAGUCUGAAUAGGGCGUUUAGUAUUUGGUCGUAGACCCGAAACCAGGUGAUCUACCCUUGGUCAGGUUGAAGUUCAGGUAACACUGAAUGGAGGACCGAACCGACUUACGUUGAAAAGUGAGCGGAUGAACUGAGGGUAGCGGAGAAAUUCCAAUCGAACCUGGAGAUAGCUGGUUCUCUCCGAAAUAGCUUUAGGGCUAGCCUCAAGUGAUGAUUAUUGGAGGUAGAGCACUGUUUGGACGAGGGGCCCCUCUCGGGUUACCGAAUUCAGACAAACUCCGAAUGCCAAUUAAUUUAACUUGGGAGUCAGAACAUGGGUGAUAAGGUCCGUGUUCGAAAGGGAAACAGCCCAGACCACCAGCUAAGGUCCCAAAAUAUAUGUUAAGUGGAAAAGGAUGUGGCGUUGCCCAGACAACUAGGAUGUUGGCUUAGAAGCAGCCAUCAUUUAAAGAGUGCGUAAUAGCUCACUAGUCGAGUGACACUGCGCCGAAAAUGUACCGGGGCUAAACAUAUUACCGAAGCUGUGGAUUGUCCUUUGGACAAUGGUAGGAGAGCGUUCUAAGGGCGUUGAAGCAUGAUCGUAAGGACAUGUGGAGCGCUUAGAAGUGAGAAUGCCGGUGUGAGUAGCGAAAGACGGGUGAGAAUCCCGUCCACCGAUUGACUAAGGUUUCCAGAGGAAGGCUCGUCCGCUCUGGGUUAGUCGGGUCCUAAGCUGAGGCCGACAGGCGUAGGCGAUGGAUAACAGGUUGAUAUUCCUGUACCACCUAUAAUCGUUUUAAUCGAUGGGGGGACGCAGUAGGAUAGGCGAAGCGUGCGAUUGGAUUGCACGUCUAAGCAGUAAGGCUGAGUAUUAGGCAAAUCCGGUACUCGUUAAGGCUGAGCUGUGAUGGGGAGAAGACAUUGUGUCUUCGAGUCGUUGAUUUCACACUGCCGAGAAAAGCCUCUAGAUAGAAAAUAGGUGCCCGUACCGCAAACCGACACAGGUAGUCAAGAUGAGAAUUCUAAGGUGAGCGAGCGAACUCUCGUUAAGGAACUCGGCAAAAUGACCCCGUAACUUCGGGAGAAGGGGUGCUCUUUAGGGUUAACGCCCAGAAGAGCCGCAGUGAAUAGGCCCAAGCGACUGUUUAUCAAAAACACAGGUCUCUGCUAAACCGUAAGGUGAUGUAUAGGGGCUGACGCCUGCCCGGUGCUGGAAGGUUAAGAGGAGUGGUUAGCUUCUGCGAAGCUACGAAUCGAAGCCCCAGUAAACGGCGGCCGUAACUAUAACGGUCCUAAGGUAGCGAAAUUCCUUGUCGGGUAAGUUCCGACCCGCACGAAAGGCGUAACGAUUUGGGCACUGUCUCAACGAGAGACUCGGUGAAAUCAUAGUACCUGUGAAGAUGCAGGUUACCCGCGACAGGACGGAAAGACCCCGUGGAGCUUUACUGUAGCCUGAUAUUGAAAUUCGGCACAGCUUGUACAGGAUAGGUAGGAGCCUUUGAAACGUGAGCGCUAGCUUACGUGGAGGCGCUGGUGGGAUACUACCCUAGCUGUGUUGGCUUUCUAACCCGCACCACUUAUCGUGGUGGGAGACAGUGUCAGGCGGGCAGUUUGACUGGGGCGGUCGCCUCCUAAAAGGUAACGGAGGCGCUCAAAGGUUCCCUCAGAAUGGUUGGAAAUCAUUCAUAGAGUGUAAAGGCAUAAGGGAGCUUGACUGCGAGACCUACAAGUCGAGCAGGGUCGAAAGACGGACUUAGUGAUCCGGUGGUUCCGCAUGGAAGGGCCAUCGCUCAACGGAUAAAAGCUACCCCGGGGAUAACAGGCUUAUCUCCCCCAAGAGUUCACAUCGACGGGGAGGUUUGGCACCUCGAUGUCGGCUCAUCGCAUCCUGGGGCUGUAGUCGGUCCCAAGGGUUGGGCUGUUCGCCCAUUAAAGCGGUACGCGAGCUGGGUUCAGAACGUCGUGAGACAGUUCGGUCCCUAUCCGUCGUGGGCGUAGGAAAUUUGAGAGGAGCUGUCCUUAGUACGAGAGGACCGGGAUGGACAUACCUCUGGUGUACCAGUUGUCGUGCCAACGGCAUAGCUGGGUAGCUAUGUGUGGACGGGAUAAGUGCUGAAAGCAUCUAAGCAUGAAGCCCCCCUCAAGAUGAGAUUUCCCAACUUCGGUUAU
rnacentral:rRNA from 1 species